rnacentral:lncRNA from 1 species
ACAGGGACUGUGUAGUCAAAUAGACCUAAGUUCAUAACUAUACCUCAUAACUUUCCACCUGCCUGACCCUGAAAGAGUUUUAAACUCUGGUUCUCAGGUUCCUUGUCUGGAGAACAGUGAUUUUUGUAUAUAUCUGGGAAUGCUUGUGUGAGUUAACAUUUCUAUUCUGUAUCCCACAGUGGACCUUUGAUCAAUGCCAUUUCUUACUUUUGAUAGUUACAAAUAAGAUAAUUCUGCUCCAGUUAUUUUAUUUGCCAUUACCCAGGGACUCAAAUAAUUAAGGAGUCACAUGUUUAAUAAGGUAGAAUUUUCUCAACGUAGUCUAUUCUCACAAUUAUCCACAUGUGAAUAAUUUAAAUUAUAAAUCUCUGAUUGACUUUUCCUAGCACUCAUAUAUUUCUUGGCAAUGCAUAUUCCCCACACUAAUAAUUAACAGUUGUUCUGGUGGGGGGCAGCACUCAAUGUUAAUACAAACCAAACAUUAUUAAGAUGGUAAAUCUUCUCCAAAGAUGAACAACACACUCUAAAAUUGCUAAUAAAUUACAUUGUCACUAUCUGACCAUUCUUUUACCAAAUCUCUCCUCUUGCACAGAUAAUUAAAAACUAACAACCACUAAAAAGGCUUGAAAGCUUCCAUCUCUUCCAUUUUCAAUAAUAUUGUGUAGCUUUUAGCUAGUGCUUCAUUUUGAAAUUCACCAGGUGGAAAUUCAUUUCUUUUCAUAUUAUUGAGCACUCUAUGUUCCCCUAGAUAAUUCUUUACGCUCUUUCAGAAAUGCUUUCUAAAACAGACAUAUAUUUUCUAAACUAAUUAAGGUCAUAAACAUGGGUCAGAUUAAUAGAUAUCUGAACCCCACAAACCUUCGUUCUAAUGUAGAAUAAGGUAAAAUCAAAACUUUUGCAGAUAAUUUUACUAAGGAACAUGAAGUAGUAGUAGUAAUAGUAGUAGUAGUAGCAGUAGCAGCAGCUAAUAUUUACAGAGCACGUACUACACACUGUUGUUUCUUAUAAUAACCCUAUUAUGGAGGCCUUAUUCCUAAUCUAUAAAUAAGGGAACAGGCUUUGAAAAACUAAAAAAUAAACAAAAACACCCAAGGACAUGAAGAAACUACCACCCAUUUCUGUUUGAAUUCAAAAUCAGUGUUCUGAAUCAUUGGCAUUUUAACCAAGAAUCAAUUGGUUCUCCUUUCAGCCACAAUGGAACAAAUAGUACUACCAGACAUAAACUCUCAUUGUACAGAAUGUUAAUAUUAGUCAAAGAUAGGAAGCUUCUGAUUUCAGAAAAUAUACAAUGGGCGGAUGAAUAUUAUAGAGAUUGUAGAUCAGGGAAGCUGAAGCUACUGGAUUGUAUGUGGUGGUUCAUUGAAGAGGAAUGGCCUCAGAGACCCAUGUGAGGGGCUCCUCAAGCAUAAAGCUGAAAGAUGAGCUGUAAGUGCAAAGUUAAACCACUCAAGGCAUACAAGAGGGCAACUUCACUAGAGGUUGAGCAGAGCUACAGAAAAGCCCUGUUGAGGCUGUGUUUCUGUCUUGCCUAGAAUCCUAUUGUGACAUUCAAAAGAUUUACAGAGGAAGGACCAUGACUUAGAGUAACAACUCCUCUAGAUGCACCCCAACAAAGCCUAAAGCUCAUCCCUACAAGAUGCAUAUCAGAGACAGGGUUUGUGUGCUGGGUCCUUCCAAGCUCACAAAACACCUGGGCUUUCUACAAAUCAAUAUCAACAACAGAAUAAAAUCAAACCUACACAACCACAUGUCAAAAUUUGAAACUUCUGCUAAAAAAAGAAUCUAGGCCAUCUGAGGAAUAUUACAAAAUUCAUAAUAUGCAACAGAUUAUAACUGGCAGGAUUCAAUUUUCAAAAUAAGAAAAAAUAUGACAUACAAAGAUGCAGGCAUCUAUAGUGAAGAAAAAGAAAACCAUCAACAGAACCUGAACCUGAGAUGACACCAUUGUUGACCUUAGCAGAUGGAGACUUUAAAGAAGCUCUUAUAAAAAUACUUAACUAAUGAAAACAAAUGGUUUGAGGAAGUGAAUAAAUAGGAAAUAUCAACACAAACACUGAAACUACAUAACAGGAAAAAGUAAAAAAUUGUAGAAAAUAAAAUUAUAAUAAAUAUAAAAAUGAAAAAGAUAUCAGAUGAGCUCAUCAGCAAAUUGACUAUAGCAAAGUAAUAAUUAGUGAAUAUGCAUAUAAAGCAAUAGAAAUUACCCAAUAUGAUGAGCAGGGAGAUAAAAGAACUUCAAAAAUGAAUAAAUUCCCAAGGACAUUUAAGAUAAUAUAACACUUUAUUAUGCAUGUGAUUAGGUAGAACCACAUAAUAAGAGAAAACAUUUUGAAAGAAAUAAUGUCCAAAAACUUAAUGUUAAAAUUUUAUGUAAACCACUUUAUGGAUUUCUAAGAAAUUUUUAAAAACCCACAAAUAACAUAAUUGUUAAAAGAGUGACAACUAAGCAACUUGUGGUUAAACUACUUUAAGCCAAGAUAAGAGAAAAUUUUUCAAAGCACCUGAAGAGAAAUGAAAUAAGAGAAUUCAUAGUAAAACUUCAAUAAAAUAAACACUAAAGAAUGCCAUACAGGUUGAAAGACAUAUUAAAGAAAAGAAGCUUAAAGGGAAAAAU